rnacentral:rRNA from 1 species
UACAGAGGUCCCGGGCGUUGUUCGGAUUUAUUGGGCGUAAAGGGUGCGUAGGCGGCGGAGUAAGUUGGGUGUGAAAUCCCGAGGCUCAACCUCGGAAUUGCAUUCAAUACUGCUUCGCUCGAGUACUGGAGAGGAGGCUGGAAUUUACGGUGUAGCAGUGAAAUGCGUAGAUAUCGUAAGGAAGGCCGGUGGCGAAAGCGAGCCUCUGGACAGUUACUGACGCUGAUGCACGAAGGCCAGGGGAGCAAACGGG